GCACGCGCAUAGCGUGCGUGCGCUGGUGGAACCCACUCUGACAUGGGAGGAGGCCACUCGCUGUGUCUGGGGGAAACAGAAAACAUUUCUUAGACAUUUUCAAGUGAGCGCUGGUGGAAAAGAAUGAACUUUGAUGACUCUGGAGGAUGGAGUGAAGCUUCAUGUGAAACCAAUUCACAACAAAGUCGAAACACCACCCUGUUCAUGUCAUUGAUACUCUUAAAGAAUGCAGAAGGAACCACUAUCCCAGAAAGCAAAUAAAUAAGAAGGGUCCUUAU